rnacentral:rRNA from 1 species
UACGGAGGGAGCUAGCGUUGUUCGGAAUUACUGGGCGUAAAGCGUGCGCAGGCGGCUUUGCAAGACAGAUGUGAAAUCCCCGGGCUUAACCUGGGAACUGCAUAUGUGACUGCAUGGCUAGAGUGCGGCAGAGGGGGAUGGAAUUCCGCGUGUAGCAGUGAAAUGCGUAGAUAUGCGGAGGAACACCGAUGGCGAAGGCAAUCCCCUGGGCCUGCACUGACGCUCAUGCACGAAAGCGUGGGGAGCGAUCCGG